UCAUUACACAAAAUGUAAACAAUGAAUGAAGAAUAUAAGGCUUGCUCCCGGCCUCAACUGUAACUAACAGUGCUAAUGACUGUGUAUAAUAAAUAAAUAAUUAACAAAAUCUUAAAACUAGUUAACAAAAUAUGACAUCAAAACGGAGUGACAGUCAGUGCUCUUACACAGAAUGUGUAAUUAUACAUAAAAGUUUCUUAUUCUUUGAAUAUCACAGUACUGAUUUAAUGUAGAAGCGUGGUAAGGUAUAGUCAUCUGCGAUAUCUUCAGUAGGUUCGUUGAGAAUACCCACUGUAGACAGAUAUGACGAAUCUGACCAGGAUAUAUUUUUCUCGAUUUCGUGGAUUUCGCUUACAAUAUGGUUUUCGUGAGUAGCCAAUUUCUCUACAAACUUCCUUUGAUGUUGUUGGGCGUACUUACAAAAUGGCACAACGUUAGAGAUUUUGUAUAUACCUUUCUUUCCAGGAUUUCCAAUUCGUUGGCAACUAUUGGGGAAAUAGUAAACCAGAUUGGAAAUGCGUAUGUUAGGAUAGAUCUAAUUGCCACCUUAUAUAGGAGCAGCUUGGUGUUUUGAGGUAAAUAAUUGCUGUUAAGGACCCUGCAGAAAACGGUGGAGGUAUUGAUGAACUGCGGGUGGUGCUACACUGAUGUAAAAGUCAGUAGCAUCAAUGGUUGUAGGCGGCGAGUACUGCUUGACUACUCGCAAGUGCUGCACUGUUUUUUUUAUAAUCGCAUAUAUUGGUAACACUGUCAGCGUCUGAUUAUGCUUAUUUGUGAUUUGUGUUUUGUGCAUUGUGUGGACUUGCAAGUAAAAUAUUGGUUUUGUUUUAAGUGAAAAAGAAAAGAAAGUGUAUGUAAAAAAUGAAUAAGCGUACCUUUGAACGCAGAGUAUUAAAACAAAAAGCUAUUUAUGAACAAAUACUAUUUAAUGUGGAAAAAGUAGAAGAAGUUGAAAAAUGAAAAACCAAAUAAGUGCCUUUUUUUGAAAUUAUAUAUUUUACUUAAUUUCUAUUUUGUAAUUUAAUAUUGUUUUGAAAUAAAAAUAGCUGAAUGAAAACAAAAUCUGUCUUUCGUUCUUUUAAUUAUUCGCAAUGGCAUUGCGAAUAUUUACGUUCGUGCAGUAUGUUCAGUUACUUUCUUUCCCCUCACAAAGCGCUGCAAAAGCGAGUACUGAUUUUCACACGACAGUCCAGUAUAAAAGUCAGCAGCUCUUACCGUUAACGGGGAAAUGAAGAGCGAGUGGUCGGUAUCGCUUGGCGAGUACUCGAGCAGCACUGCGGUACUAAUUUUUUUCGGAGGGGAUGUUUGAAAAACUCGCUAAUAUACCUUUAACUUUUUGCAUGAUGGAACGCAUGUUCGUUGAAUUUUAGGAGAUGAUUAAAUGUUACACCAAGCACUACUUCCAGUAUUUUACCAAUAUUUGACAAAAGGGAAAUUGGGCGAAAGUCAUCAACGUUGCAAUUUGCUGUUUUCUUCUUAAUGGGUAUGAUUUUGGCAACUUUCCAUUGUUUGGGAAAGUAUCCGUUGUUAAUGCAAUUAUUGAAAAGGCACAUGAAGUAAAGUGGUAUGUGUCUGGAUUGUGGAGAGAAUUAAAAUUUUCAUCGAAUGAGUAUAUAUGAGUUGGUGUUGAGUUGAUACAUGUUAACAGCGUAGAAUUAUGCUCAUCUGAGGCAGGAAGUGUUGUUGAGCCUUCAAAUAUGGUGGAAUAAAAAUUCUUAAAAUGA